UAGGCGGACGGGGGAGUAAUGUCUGGGAAACGUGCCUGAUGGAGGGGGAUAACUACUGGAAACGGUAGCUAAUACCGCAUAACGUCGCAAGACCAAAGAGGGGGACCUUCGGGCCUCUUGCCAUCGGAUGUGCCCAGAUGGGAUUAGCUAGUAGGUGGGGUAACGGCUCACCUAGGCGACGAUCCCUAGCUGGUCUGAGAGGAUGACCAGCCACACUGGAACUGAGACACGGUCCAG
rnacentral:rRNA from 1 species